GGAACCUCCCAAUACAGGCAGAAAAACCUAGCGCCGCCGCCAGUAGAGUCCACCGCGGUCUUGCUCUCCGGUGAACUAUUCCUUUGCCCUCUCGAAUACCAGCCCCCUUCCGCCUUCAUCCCUCCCCGGGGUCCUCUUCCCCUGGCACGCAAGGAAUUCGUCUCCCAAGACAAAUGGCGGUAUAAGACACCGACCAGAAUUGGUCUUCUCCAUCUCCCAUCAAGUGAUAAGAUGGUAAGCAACCUUCGCUGGCUUCACAUCAUCUACCGUAUGAGGUCUACAUGACUUAUUUUUACCUGUAUGCUGCCAAUUAGUGCUUUGGUUCCUUCUCCCCUAUCCUUAGAUGUGUUGCUUUCAUUCUGUGACUGUGAGUAUGUGGAAAAGUGUGUUUCUAUUGUCCUGUAUCCGUGGAAAUUGCUUUUUAUUUUUGCAGAAGGAUUAAAACUGAAUCAGCAGUGGAAUUCAUGGAGUAAAUGUCACCAAUUUCGUCAGCAUGCACAAAGUUCAGACUGUUUUGAUCAUGUUCUCGUUUACAAUAUCCAUUAACUUUUUCCGAUUUAUUUACUAAGAUUUGAAUGUUUUCUUCAGUUCUGCUACAAUCUGGAUUCAAGGUAAUCGAUGGGGAAAAUCUUAUUGACUUAUGCAUGAUACUAUGUUGUCGAUGACUGAACGGGUCCUAGCUAUUUGUCUUAUUCGAUAUCCAGAAUAGUAAUAAGGAUCAAAGGUACUGCGAGAGUACUUAUCGGUCAUAAAAAAAUGCAGCUGCCAAUUAUCUAUUCCUGUAAAAAAAAGUAGGACAGUUCAUGGAUAUAUGAUAACUGUAUGGUUGCCAGGAAAUUGGCUCUGAUCAUGUUGUAUAUAGUACGGUCUCUAUAUUUUGUUUCGACCUAUCGUGUUGCUAUAUACGCAAUUUGUUGGUUAUAGGUUUUGAAUUGGGACCACGAACUACUUUCAUGAUGUUUGUAUGCAGAUGCUUACAUAUUCAAGUGCAAAGUUCAGAAGAGCUAUUGUUUUGGACAAUGAAUCGCUCUAAAAUAGACACAAUUGGCCACUAAUUUUGGUAUGUAUUUGUAAAACAUGCCUUUAUUUAUCGUAAUGGGUAUUAUUUAUUUGCAGUUGUGGUCAUGCUAUUUUCACGAUAUCUACGGAAAAAGAGAUGGCCUCACAUUUUACAUCUGAGAAGAGGCCUUCUUGCUCUUAGAAAUCUGAUUAGUGUGUUAGGUGAUAUGAAGAAGAGGAAAGAAGGAUCAUUUGUCCUGUAUGGGUACAGUAAAUUAACCUGCCUACUGCAGGUCCGGUGUUUCAAACUUAUAUCCUUUUAUUGCUCCACCACGAGGUAGGGGUACUUACUAAAAUCAAAUUUCUUUUCUCGUUUCUUUUUCUGCAGCUUGCAUUGGUCAUGCUGAUUCUAUUGCAGAAGAAACAAUUAGUACAUACACUCAAAGAUUAUAACAGAUUCACUUGUUGGAGGAAAAUAAAUGAUAUCUAUAAGUGCGGCAGCCGGGGAGAAGAUAUUGGAUCUCACAUGUUGAAAUUUCUUAGAUAGUUCGUACUAUUUAGAGAUAGAAAAAGUCUGAAAAUGUAUG